GGAUGGCUCAAAUCAAAUGCGGAAGUUGACACCCAGGAAAGCUGCUGUGCCGCGCCACAACCAAGAUGAGUGUUGUUGACAUGACAGUUGAGCAGUAGCAAGGAGACCAAGCGGUGCGUCGGUGACAGCGAGGCGGCGAGACCGCAGGAAGACACCAAAGCCAGCGCCGCUGAACUGGACCUCAGACCCGGGGAUGUCUUCUGUGGGCAGCGCAGACCGACGGGCUUUCGCUCUGAAAAUCAACAGGCACAGUUCUGCAGAGAUCAGACGAAACUUCAGUGGGAACUAUGGCUUUAAUCACACCCGAACCAACUCCAGCGCUUCGGCAACAGUGUACCUCACUGUGCCUCAGUCGUAUGAAGCAGUGGAGCCGCUGGACCUGGAGGAGUUCCUGAUGUCACAAUUAAAAAGUGGAGACUCAGCCCUGAUGCAUGAACUUGGAGACUUCCCCGACGAUGACCUGAAGGUGGAGCAUGUGGAGAAGGAGUGUCGCACUGUUCGACACUCUGUCCCCGAAGAUGGAGUGGAGUUGGAUGCACAUGUGAGAGACUGUGUAAAGAGUUACACCCAGCCGUGGCUUGUGGUCUCCAGAAGGUGCCAGGGGGAUGGCUGGAGCACAUAUUCGGAGCGAGCAGGCCUACACAAACGCCUUCAGAAGCAGACCUUUGAGUAUGACGUCCAGCCCGAGAACCCACAGCAGAAGCCAGUCAAGUCUCCAACUCUAGUGGGGCUGAGUGAUGACUCUGGCCGCACACUGACCUCCUCCGACUUUAACUUGCGGUUUUUGACCCCGGACAAGAGAGUGGAGGGGCUGCUGGCCUACAGCAGCCACGAGGAGCUGGACCGCAUCAACCAGGAUGCACGGCAGGGGAACAGACUACCCGAGCUGUUUGCUCUGUACCCACCGGCCGAUGAGGAAGAUGCGGUAGAGAUCCGGCCCAUCCCUGACUGCCCCAAAGAACACACUGGAGACCGCAUCCUGGUCCGAUGCCAGACCAUCAAGUUUGAGAUUGACAUUGAGCCCAUAUUUGCCACUAUGGCCUUGUAUGACCUGAAAGAGAAGAAAAAGAUAUCAGAGAAUUUCUACUUUGAUUUGAACUCAGAUCAGUUUAAGAAUUUCUUGAAACCUCACACUCCACAUGUGGAUCCGUCCUCCCUGGCCCGAUCUGCCAUCUUCUCCAUCACCUAUCCUGCUCCAGAUAUCUACCUGGUCAUCAAGAUUGAAAAGGUUCUCCAGCAGGGAGAGAUCAGUGACUGUGCUGACCCGUACAUAACAAUGAAGGAAUGUGACUCUACAAAGAACAAGGACAAGCUUGAGAAGCUGCGAGGUCAGGCGGAGAUGUUCUGCCAGAGGCUGGGCCGCUAUCGCAUGCCCUUCGCCUGGACAACCGUUAAUAUCAUGGAGGUUGUCUCCACUGCUGCGAUAGACCGCGAUGUCACCGACUCUGACAGCUUAAAAGGAGGUAAAUCUAGCAGCAUUGACCGGAGAGCACAGCUUCCCAGGAGGAAUUCUGAACGUUACAAUACCAUUGAUGAUCAAUUUUGUACCAUUUCUGCGUUCAAACCUGCCACCAUCACUCUCAGCCCCAUCUUCAAACAGGAGGGAGAUCGUUUGAGUGAUGAGGACUUGCUCAAGUUCUUGGCUGAGAUCAAGAAAACCUCCACUCCACAGAGGAGAUUCAAGACAAUACCAGGUUCCAUAAAACUAGACAUGUCUCCAGUCCACGUCACGCCAUCGGCAUGUUUGUCCACUGAACUCAUCCCUCUGAUACCUGUGGCAGAGAAGAAUACUCGGCUGACCAAAGAGGUGCUGGAGUUUCCAUCCAGUGAGGUUUAUGUCCCCCACAGCAUUUACAGGAACCUGCUCUAUGUCUACCCCCAGAGGCUAAACUUUGUUAACAGGCUUACAUCAUCAAGAAACAUCUCCAUCAAAAUCCAGUUUAUGAGUGGAGAGGACCCGGCCUGCUCCAUGCCUGUCAUUUUUGGGAAAUCAAAUGGCCCCGAAUUUUUACAGGAAGUCUACACCCCUGUUACCUACCAUAACAAGUCCCCAGACUUCUAUGAGGAAGUGAAGCUGUCUCUUCCUGCCCGUCUGACGGAGAGACAUCACUUGCUGUUCACCUUCUACCACAUCAGCUGCCAGCAGAAACAGAACCAGAGUGGCAGCUGUGAAACGCUCAUUGGAUACUCUUGGCUGCCCAUCUUGAAUAAUGACCGGCUGCAGACUGGUCAGUUCUGUCUGCCCAUUGUCUUGGAGCGACUGCCUGUCAACUAUUCAAUGCACACGCCUGAGAAACUUCCUCCUCAGGCCCCGCCAGUCAAGUGGAUGGAGAGUCACAAAGGACUUUUCAACCUUGAGAUACAGGCUGUGUCAUCUGUACACACACAAGACAACCACCUGCAGCGUUUCUUCACCCUCUGCCAUGCCCUGGAGGGUGGCGCUACAUUCCCGCUGCGGGUCAGGGAGGAGAAGAUUCCAGAGAACAAGCUGGAGCAUGAGCUGAAGCUCAGCAUCAUCUCCCUGUCCUCCUCCAGUUUAGAGCCUCUGGUUCUCUUCCUCCAUCUGGUGCUGGAUAAACUCUUCACUCUCAUCAUGCAGCCCAUGGUCAUCGCUGGCCAAACCGCCAAUCUGGCUCAGAUAGCCUUCGAAUCAGUGGUGUCUAUUGUCAACAGUCUUCAUAACAGUCAGGAGCUUACCAGGGACCAGCAGGGUAGGAACAGCCUCUUGGCGACUUACCUUUACUGGGUAUUUCGCUUGCCUGAUCCCCCUCAAGACAUGCAGAAUGCAGGUUCAGGGAGUAUGAUACCUUCUGCCGAGAGCCGUUACAGCACCAUGGGUCGGGCCACAGCAGCCACAGUUGGCAGUAUGCUUCUCCAGUCCAGAAUCCGCAGCAGCAGCAACCCUGACAUACCCGGUCCACAUACCUCUGCUGAAGAUGCUGAAGUCAAAAACAUCUUUUCUGCCAAGGGCCACAACAACCCAGGCAGCCGCAUGUCCACCUAUGUGGACGUGAGCAACCACCAGAACCCCACAGGAAGCACCAGGCCCUCUAACAGAAAGCAGUUUCAUGAGGAGCUGGCCCUGCAGAUGGUCGUCAGCACUGGGGUCUGCAGAGAGAACGCAUACAAAUAUGCCUGGUUCUUCUUUGAGCUAUUGGUGAAAAGCAUGGCUCAGCAUGUGUCUCAGCUCGACAAGCACAGUGUCCCUCGAAGAAGUCGCUUCUCUGACCGAUUUAAAGAUGACAUCACCACCAUUGUCUCUGUGGUUACAGCUGAGAUUGGGACCAUCCUUGUCAAACAACAUAAGGAGGUAGAACAAGCGGAGAAAGUCAACAUCAGCCUGGCCUUCUUCCUCUAUGACCUGCUGUCUCUGAUGGACCGAGGGUUUGUCUUUCAGCUGGUGAAAAACUACUGCAACCAGAUGUCAGCUAAGAGCGUGUCAAUGCCAACGUUGAUCAGCAUGCGUCUGGAGUUCCUGCGAAUCCUGUGCAGUCAUGAGCACUACCUCAACCUGAGCCUCUUCUUCAGCGGGUCUUCCUCCGCUCCCACAUCACCGUGUCCAUCUAUCUCCUCGCAGAGCUCCGGCUCGUGUAGUUUCCAGGAGCAGCAGAGGAUCUUGGGGCUGUUUGAGCUUUCUCAGGAAUUUAAGCAGCAGCACUACCUUACCGGUCUGCUGCUGACAGAGCUCAGCGCCGCCCUAGACAUGGAGUCAGAGGGGGGAAAGGUCCAGAGAAAGGCCAUCAAUGCCAUCUGCAGCCUGCUGUGUUCCCAUGAUCUUGACCAGCGCUGUGAUAAACCUGAUGUCAGAGCCAAGGUGGCUGGCCUUUACCUCUCCCUGGUGGGGAUCAUAAUUGAUUCCACCACCUAUCUGGACUUCACAGUUUCUGACACGCGCGGUGGUAAAAACAAGAUGGGCGGACCCGUGGAUGACCUUGAAAAUGUCCCACCCAUAAAUCAGUCUGUAGCUAUGGCGAUUGCCGGGAAUCCUUUCAACACGCUCGGACGGAAUGUUCUCGUUUCUAUGGCAUCGAUGCAAGGUAAAUCCAUAGCCACCCUGGCAGCAGACACCAGUCGCCACCUGUUGGUGUGUUUUCUGUGGGUGAUGAAGAACGCUGAUAGGAAUCUGAUUCAGCGCUGGACUAUAGAAAUGCCUCCCUCGCAGCUCAACAAGCUGCUGGAGCUCCUCACUAUCUGUGUGUCCUGCUUUGAGUAUAGGGGUAAGCAGAGCACUGACAAAGUGAGCACCCAGGCCUUACAGAAAUCUCAUCAGGCCAAGAUGCAGCUGGAAGAAGCCCUCUUGAGAGGAACGGGAGCCCGUGGGGAAAUGAUGAAACGAGUUGGAGGAAUGGAUAGGACCAUGGGCCAAAGAGAAAACCUACGAUGGAGGAAAGACCUCACUCAGUGGAGACAGACCAAUGACAAACAGGAUAAGACUAAAGCAGAGUUGGACCAGGAGGCUCUGAUUAGUGGAAACUUAGCCACAGAGGCUAACCUCAUAGUGCUGGACCUGCUGGAAACCAUUGUACAGGCAGUGCCAUUGACUGAGUGUAAGGACAGCGUGGUUGGCGGGGUGUUGAAGGUGUUGCUCCACUCUCUCACCUGCAACCAGAGUACCACUUUCCUCUCUCACACCUUCAGCACACUUAGAGCGCUUGUUGUCAAGUUUGGGGACCUGUUGUUUGAGGAGGAGGCGGAGCAGUGUGCAGACCUGUGCCAGAAGAUGCUUCAGUACUGCAGCAGCCCUGUCGAUGAGAACAGGAGCCAGGCCUGUGCCACCCUCUAUCUCAUCAUGAGAUAUAGCUACAGCAAUGCCAGUAACUUCUCAAGAGUGAAAAUGCAGGUCACCAUGUCUCUGGCCUCGCUGGUGGGCAAGUCCUCAGACUUCCAGGAGGAAUACUUACGACGCUCACUCCGCACCAUCCUGGCCUACGCGGAGGAGGACACGGAGAUGCAGAACACUCAGCUGCCCUCACAGGUGGAUGAGCUUCUAAGAAACCUUAACAGUAUUUUGUCAGACACGGUGAAGAUGAGGGAGUUCCAGGAAGAUCCCGAGAUGCUCAUGGACCUCAUGUACAGGAUAGCGAAGGGCUACCAGACGUCUCCUGACCUCCGUCUGACCUGGCUGCAGAACAUGGCAGAAAAGCACAACAACAGGAAGUGUUUCACUGAGUCGGCUAUGUGUCUGGUCCACGCCGCUGCCCUGGUGGCCGAGUAUCUCAGCAUGCUGGAGGAUCACAAGUAUCUGCCUGUUGGCAGCGUCACCUUCCAGAACAUCUCCCCCAACGUGCUGGAGGAGUCGGCAGUGUCAGAUGACAUCCUGUCCCCCGACGAGGAUGGGGUGUGUUCGGGACGCUACUUCACUGAGAGCGGCCUGGUGGGAUUGCUUGAACAGGCUGCUGAGCUCUUCAGCAAUGGUGGUCUCUUCGAGGCAGUGAAUGAGGUCUACAAGAUCAUCAUUCCAAUCCUGGAGGCUCACAGAGAUUUCAGAAAACUGGCAUCAACUCAUGACAAACUACACAGAGCAUUUGAUAACAUCAUUCAGAAGGGCCAUAAGAGGAUGUUUGGAACCUAUUUCCGGGUGGGUUUUUAUGGGGCUAAGUUCGGCGACCUGGACGAACGGGAAUUCAUUUACAAGGAGCCAGGGAUCACACAUCUGCCUGAGAUAUCACACAGGCUAGAGAACUUCUACAGUCAGUGUUUUGGAGAGGACACGUUGGUGAUGAUCAAGGACUCUACACCAGUGGACAGAAAACAACUCAACCCCAGCAAAGUAUAUAUCCAGAUCACAUAUGUGGAGCCCUUCUUUGAUGACUAUGAGAUGAAAGACCGGCUGACAAACUUUGAGAAGAACUUCAACCUGCGCCGCUUCAUGUACACCACGCCCUUCACCAAGAGCGGGAGGCCGAGGGGUGAACUCAACGAGCAGUACAAGAGGAAGACCAUCCUCACCACUAUGCAUGCCUUCCCCUACGUCAAGACCCGCAUCAAUGUCAUCCAGAAAGAGGAGUUCGAUCUGACUCCUAUUGAAGUCGCCAUAGAGGACAUGCAGAAGAAGACUAGAGAGCUAGCAGUUGCCACACAUAGAGAAAAGCCUGAUGCAAAGAUGUUACAGAUGCUUCUACAAGGCUCUGUGGGAGCCACAGUUAACCAGGGCCCAUUGGAGGUGGCCCAGGUCUUCCUGAAUGAGAUCCCAGCGGACCCGAAGCUCUUCCGUCACCACAAUAAGCUGCGCCUGUGUUUCAAAGAGUUUAUAAUGAGGUGUGGUGAGGCAGUUGAGAAGAAUAAGCACCUGAUCACGUUGGACCAGAAAGAGUACCAGCAGGAGCUGAAGAAGAACUACAACCGCCUGAGAGAGAGCCUGAGGCCCAUGCUGGAGAGGAAGAUUCCCGAGCUCUACAAACCCAUCAUCAGGCCUCGGCUGGAGAACCGGUAAACAGACCCACCAAGUCAAACAGGCCAAUACUGCUUUGACAAGAGAGACUGAGGGAUUCCUUUAAACGUCUAAGUUUCCGCAGAGCUCCGGAGGAAAACUCCUGAGAAUGCUACAGCUCGUCUGAGAGAGCGAGAGCGCUACAGAGAGGAAGGGGAGGCUGGCACACAACUGAGAGGAAAAGAGAAGAAAAGAUGAAAAAAGGAGAAACACAAGGAAAGGAACUGCUGGUGAUACCAUUGCACCCCUCUGCGCUGGAGGAGUACCUUGUGUUGGAGGACUUACAGUUUCAGCAGUCUGGCAGUGUUAUAUAAUAUCUGCCACAUGUCCACUUUUGAUUGAUCAUGGUUGUUUGUUACAGGACGUAAGAAUAGGGAAGUGGGAAUCUCAAGCAAUGUGUAGCUUACUGAGCAUUUCACUGUAAAAUCUUCAGACGCUUUGGCUCUGUUGGUUUCCUUUUUUAGAUAACUUCAAGUCCUAAUAAUGCUGCAAACAUUUCCUCUGGGUUGGUAAAGAGGCGGACUAGUGUUCCUCUCUGAGGUCCUCGCUGACCCAGAGCCUGUAUGUGUGCCAAUAAUGCUUGUGUCCUGUGUGUAUGUGUAUGUAAAUGUGUGAGUGGAUGAGUGGUUAUUUAGAUAAUUUCUGGAGUUAAAGAUGUUGAAGCCAUACUGAAGUCACUUUGUACUCAGUAAUGAUAAAUGAUUCUGUUAUGUGCUAAAGGGCCUUUGAAAUUCCACUCUGGGAGUCUAUGUGUGACAUGUGCCAGUUAGAGCAGCAAGAGUAUGGAUGGAUUUGUGCACUAGAAAAAAUAGACACAAUUUCUUUCCUGUGUUAACUCUUAAGGCCAUUUUUGUCUUAUUAUUGUUGGACAUACAGUACCUAGAAGAGUUUAACUUAUUAAGAGUUAUCUGUUGUAAUUUCACAGGAGGCAGAUAGACUUAUCUGAGGCUCUAAAUUACAGAUGGCUUAGCUCUAAAUCCACAUUUUGUAUAUAGUAGCGGUAUUUCAUCAAAUAAUUUCAAAGAUGUUUACAAAGGUAUGAAAAACUAUUCUGCAUUUUAUUUUAUGGAAAUGUAUUUUUUAGAUGAAUAAUAGCAAUAAUGAUAUUAAUUUGAACUAUUAUUCAGUAAGCAGGAUUCAGUGACUGAGUGUGCUGUAUCGAUGUCAGUGUAUGUUCCAGUUGUUUCAGUACCUGUGUAAAUAGACAGCUUUCUACGAUACACACAGUGCCAAAUUUAAUUAAUUCCUUAUUUACUUAGUAACUGAGACACUUAACUAGAUAUGCAACAUUUUGAAAACUCAAGUGUGAAUUAUGUUUUCUCCAUAUUUCAGAAUACAUUCCAGUUGAGAAAAAUAUACUACUGCUUUGCAGUAUUAAAGUGUGACAACCUGAAUUUAUUUGACAUCCAUGAAACAGCUCAUUUCAUUGGUGUUGCAGCUCAUACUGUAUUUCAGUAAUGAAAAUGUUCUGUGUCAAAAGUGGGUAUACAUUUUUAUAUACAUUAUUAAUACUCAUUUAAACAUUUUUCACUCAGUUUCCAGGUACAUCUCUUAUUUAUGAACUGUUUUUGAAAUGGAUAAAUAAGAUGAAAAGGUUAUUCAGUGUGUGUAUUAAUUUUGAGAAUUAAAAUGUAUACCUAUUUUUUGAAACAUACAAUAUAUAUUGCUGAAAGUUGGUGUUCAACUAUUUUUAUGUUCAUACCUGUUGUGGAAAUGUGGAAUUUUACCUUGUCAUGCAUACAAUGCUGUUGAAGCACCUGAAUAAAACUUAUUAAUAUAUGCA